AUGAAUCCUCGUAUUGACUCUCUGAGCUUUGGAGAGGAACGUCCGGUGGGUGUCAGCGAGUCUUUGCAAGCACCAGGUCACCUACUGCUGCUUCCCAGGAAGGAGGAGGUUCCCACGGAUUAUCAUCCCUUUCCGUGGGGUCCGGAAGGAGCCCCCCAGCCCAUUGCAGGGAGCUCGCGGCAGCCUCGUCCGUCUCCGUGUUCAGAGGCAACGCGCAAUGCCGGGCAGGAGGAAGCGAGCGUGACUGUCCCCGGCCGAGCGCGGCGCAGCCCCGAACAGAUGGCGCGGCGGAGCCAUGCCGUGGCCUCCAACAGCAAACACCAGGCCCCAUUGUUUCCUGCGAAAAGAGGGAUCGCGGAGCCAGCAGAGGAGACCUUCUGGAAGUGGGAGAAGCACAUUGCAGUGAGAUCUCUGGGUUCGCCUCGUUUUAACCCAGAGCAUGGGCAGGAUGGGUGCAGAACAGGCCAGUGCCUGGGACCAGGCGUGAGGAGCAGAGGAAACUACUGUCAGGCCACCUUGGACUUCAAACAAGCGUGUUGGCUCGUGAAGGAGUAACACAGAUGGAGAGGACGCUUUUGCUGCUGCACUCAACAGGCCAGCGGAGUUUUUCUGGCAGCAUUGGUGAUCCAACGAGACACCCUCAGAGUAGUCCCAGACCUAGCAAAAGGUGGGCGAUCUGCCCCAGAACAUGUGUUGCUGGAUGCUAACAAGGCCAGGUCGCAGGGCUAGUGUAUGGCACAGGGCACCUCCAUGGUUCCUGCCUGGUUUGCUGUCUUUGCCACAGUGGCGUCCUGGCAAGGACCCUGUUGCUAAUC
rnacentral:lncRNA from 1 species